UACGGAGAGCGCAGGCAUUAAUCGGAAUUAUUGGGCGUAAAGGGCGCGUAGGCGGGACGGUCAGUCAGAUGUGAAAUUCCGAAGCUCAACUUCGGAGCUGCAUUUGAAACUGCCAUUCUAGAGGGUAGACGGAGAAAAUGGAAUUCCACGUGUAGCGGUGAAAUGCGUAGAUAUGUGGAAGAACACCGGUGGCGAAAGCGGUUUUCUAGUUUAUACCUGACGCUGAGGCGCGAGAGCAAGGGGAGCAAACAGG
rnacentral:rRNA from 1 species